rnacentral:lncRNA from 1 species
GCCCCACGCAAGUGUCCGAGCGCCUCGCGGGCUGCACAGCGGGGAGGGUCCCUCCCGAGGGCGACGAGGCGGGGGCGGAGGUGAGCGGGGACCGAGGUCUGGGUUCCCUCUCCCCCCGGCGCUCCGGGCUCCCCGCCCUUCGGGGGACGGAGGCGUAGUCCGGUGGCGAAGUUUGGCUGGUGCAAUUAUUAUUAUCAGCAUCUAGAAAGCAUCACACGGAGCAUUGACCUUCAUGCUGCAUUGUUCUUACUGGAUCCUCCUAUCCGUGAACAUUAUGCCAAGUACCAAUACAGCAUCAAGUCAUUUCUGGAUGGAAAGUUUUCAAACUUCUUCAUUUGGAGUUACUUAAACGUGAGGGUGUUGGGAUUUUUGAGGAUGCCUUCCCUAUGUGGAUUAUUACAGUUUGAUGACUGAUUCUCUGCCUCAAAGAAGAUUAUUUUGCUAUCUGGAAACUCAUGCCCACCUCUUUGACUUCGGGUCAAAAUUGCUUUCCUCACAGUCUGACUGGGAAAGUUGUAAAACAUUAGAAUGUCCUUCAGCGGUGGGCUGUGGAAUGUCAUUACUCUCAGGUGACUACGGAAGCAUUAGCACCCUGCAUGCUCAGGUGGCCCCCACUCCUACGGACACAGCUCUUUCACCUAUACGGUUUUCUUCUGUAUUUCCUGAUAUAAGUCUCCCCCUGACCCCACUGGAAUGCAUGGAUUUGCAUUUGUUCUUCCAGGAGUGUCUAACUGGAUGUCCUCUGCAAAUUCAUCAAAUGUGCCAUCUUUUCCAUCAUGUGGUCAUCCCUGGGAUCAUCAUCGAACAUCGUUCUCCACCACUCUGGUCCAUGGAUGGUUGUUCUCUUUUGUCCAUUCCAUCAAAUGUCCUGAACACUGUCAGAAGAGGGAAAAGGCUAAUGGAGCUGUUAAGUCUAAGUAUGACUGCCAAGAUGAAUCCAAAAAAGCCAAAGAGCCUGAGCAUGUCAGACCUUCCUGCAGCCUGCCACACACACUUAAAACCCCAGGGAAAUGAGUGCGGCUCAGGAGGGGGGAAGAGCGCCAACCAGCAUUGGAACCUCAGAAAUGCAAUCUACUCUGAGCUUCUGCUUGCCUCUUUGUCAGGCCGGGAAUGCUUCCUGUCUGCAAGCUGGUCAGAAAUAAAUUUUGACAAACCAAUCCCACAGUCUAAGGUCAUACGUCUGUAGCUGAUUCAGACCUGAAAAUGAAUAGAGAUGUCAAAGCACUGAGCAUAUUGGAUGUUCACAGAUGAAUAAGCAAGAUGGCAGAAAUAGUUUUCUAGGUCUUUUUUUUUUCUUUGCCUUUGUAUGUUUUUGGUAAUUCUUCAACUUGAAAUUGUCAUAGAAUAUGUUGUCAUAUUUAUGUUUGCUUGUGCUUAGCAUAAAUAUAUAUAUAAACAUAUAACAUAUAUAUAUAUAAACAUGUAUCUAUGUUUCCAUAGUUCUAUCAUUGCAUCAUAAUAUGUAAUUAUGUGGGGAUAUAUAAAUGCUCCCCCUGUACAAUAGAGGAAAAAUGGGUCUGGUAUUUCCCUUAUGGAAGUAUCUCUAGACUAUUUUAUGUUUGGGGUAUAAUUGUACUUUUUAAAAUUAAAAGGAACAGUUUUAAGUAAUGCAUCAGCCUAUUAAUUACAUGUUUAUUUAUUUAUUUAAAAUACGUUAUUUAUUCAUUUGACAGAGCGCACAAGCUGGGGGAGAGACCAUGAAGUAGGGAGCCUGAUGCAGGGCUCAAUCUGAGGAUCCCGAGAUUAUGACCUGAGCUGAAGGCAGAUACCUAACCAACUGAGGCACCCAGGUGCCCCAGAAAAUGUUUUAAUGAAGUUUACCAAAUUUUAUUUUUUAGUGCUCUGUGUGUGUGUGUGUGUGUGUCUCUGUGUGUGUGUGUGUGUGUGUGUGUGUGUGUGUCUGUGUUUGGGCAGCUGCUGUAGCUCCCGAGAGGAAGCAUAGUCUUAUAGGAAGCUGUAGCUCCCGAGAGGAAGCUGUAGUCUCCUGAGGCUGUUGAGAUGUAAAAUGACCAGGGAUAAGUGGAUAGAAAGUGAACAUGAGUGGUUCUCAUGACUUUCAUGUUACUACAUACUCUACAUUUCUGUCUUUCCCUUUGUGAUUAAGAUUUAUUGGGAGAGAACGGGCUCUAUUGGUUAGAUAUUUGACUCUUUGUUUUGGCUUAGGUCAUGAUCUCAAGGUCAUGAGAUUGAUCCCUUUGUCUCUCCCUCUGCUUCCCCACUUGUGCAUGGUCUCGCAAAUUAAAAAAAAAAAAAUAUUGACACGGGAAUUUUGCACUAAGUUAAUUUCUCACAUCCCAAUGUAUAAUAAAUCUUCUACCUGUAGAAUUACUGUAAAAUUCUAGUAACCAUUUGAAGCAUGAAAAAAAUUGACUUGGAAACCCUAAGAGUACUAUGAUACUUAAAAUCAUAUAGUGCUAAACUUGCCUAGUUGUAUUAUAGUUACAUUUGUCUAUCUUGUCUACUGUAUUUUGGUUUAAUUAAGAGCAGGGGCAAUUUUUAUUUUUAAUUUAAUUUUUAAUUAUUUUUAAGGAUUUUAUUUAUUUAUUCAUUUAAUUAUUUUUAAGGAUUUUAUUUAUUUUAAGGAUUUUAUUUAUUUAUUCAUUAUUUUAUUUUAUUUUUUAUUUAUUUAUUUAUUUAUUUAUUUAUUUAUUUAUUUAUUUAUUUAUCUCAUGACACAGAGAGAGGCAGAGAGAGAGGCAGAGGGAUGAGAAGCAGGUUCCAUGAAAGAAGCCCCAUGUGGAACUUGAUCCCAGUAUUCUGGGAUUAUGCCCUGAGCCAAAGACAGAUGCUCAACCACUGAGCCACCCAGGUGUCCCUAUUUUUUAAUUUUUUAAACUUUCUUUUUGGUUGUUUUAAAACUAAUCAGAUUGUGAAGUCUUUUUUUAGCUUGUGUAUAUUGACACACAUGUUACAUUAGUUUCAGGUGUAAAACAUAGGGAUUCAACGACUCUAUUCUUUAUAUUGUGCUCACCACAAGUGUAGCUCCAUCUGUCACCAUACAAUGCCACUACAAUACCAUUAACUAUAUUCCAUCUGCUGUAACUUUUAUCCUUGUGACUUAUUCUAUAACUGGCAGCCUAUAUUUACCACUCCCCUUUUAUCCCUUUUGCCCAUAGUUUGGCUCCCUCCUUUUCCCCUCUGGCAGCCAUUAGUUCUCUGUUUAUAGGUCUUGUCCUGCUUUUUGUUUAUUCGAUGUUUAGAUUCCAAAUACAAGUGAAGUCAGGGUCUUAUUCUUUUUUAUGGCUGCAUGAUAUCCCAUUUUGUGUGUGUGUAUGCAAACAUACAUAUCACAACUUCCUUAUCCUUUCAUCUAUUGAUGGGCAUAUAGGUUGCUUCCAUAUCUUGGCUACUAUAAAUAAUGCUGCAAUGAACAUAGGGAUGCAAAUGUCUUUUUGAAUUAGAGUUUUUGUUUUGUUUGGGUAAAUACCAAGUAGUAUAACUACUGGAUCAUAUUGUUAUUCCAUUAAUAUUUUGAGUAACCGCCAUACUGUUUUCCAAAGCAUUCUCAGGUGGGUUCCUUUUUCUACACAUCCAACAAGUAUUGGUGAGCAACACUUAUUUCUUGCUUUUUUUUAUUAUUAUUUUUAAAAUUUUAACCAUUCUAACAGGUAUGAGGUGGUAUCUCUUUGUGAUUUGAUUUGUAUUUUUGUGAUGAUGAGGCAUGUUGAGCAGAAUCUUUCCAUGUGUUUAUUGGCCACCUGUAUGUCUUGUUUAGAAAAAUUUCUAUUUAGGUCCUCUGCCUAUCUUUUAAUUAGAUUGCUUGGUUUUUGUUUUUGUUUAUUUUGGCAUUAUAUAAGUUCUUUAUCACAAUUUAGAUUUUUGAUCCCUAGUGUAGUAUUUGUUAUAUUAGGAAAUAUUCAACAAAUGCUAGUUGAAUGAGUAAGUUAAUAACUUACCUGAAUUUCUCUUGCAAUCUUCACCAAAGUCAUAUAUUUUUCUUUUUUUUUGGGUAAGUAGCAGAGAUUUGUGUUCAUAUUUUCCCUUCUGGAGUUGACUGACAUUGCCAAGGGACUUUUAUAUUAGUGGUAAAAAGAAUGCUGGAGUUACAGUACAAAUAACCUGCGUUUAAAUUCUGUCAUCACUGUGUCAUUACAUGCUGUGCCUACCUGGAAAAAUUAUUUAUCUUCUCUGAACCCUCAUGUCUUCAUCUCUAAAAUGGGUUAAUAACAGCUACUGUAUAUGGUUGUCAUUUCAGUUACCUUUAUUCAAGAAGCCCUUGAAAUCUCUAAUAUUCUUAAAUGGCUUAGCUCUUUGAAUAGGAAUAAAAUUUUGAAAUAUUUAAUGAUAGUUUAAAACCGUUCACUGUAAAUCUUGUUGCUGUGCACCUGCCUCAGUCAUGGAAUCAAUGGCCUUUCUUGCUUCAGGAGCAUGGCAGAUGCAGUAAAAAUUGUGGAACAAAUGUGUCAUUGUGCACUUGUCAGAAGAGUUCUUGUAUAAGCUAGGAUUUGUUGAAAAUGCUAACGCUUCCAUUUACAUAUUGAGAAGAAAGUCUGAAGGUCUGAGACUCUAGCUUAUAAAAGUGAGAUGGAACCACACAGAAAGGGAAGGCCCCCUGCAGUGAGGCAACAAGAUGUUUGAUGAGAUUUUGGGGGUUGGGAGCUGGGACAAGGUGACUUAAAAUGACAAGAAGGUUGAGGAAGGGCUCCCCCACCCCACCUCACCCCACCCCGGGCCUGUGCAGUAGAGCAGAAAGUGUCAUCUUCCAAAGAGGCCACUCUAUUCACCUCUUCUCCAGGUAACUCAUGUCUUAGAAUUGGCCCAGAUUUUCUGCUGGGGCAGAGAUGGUUAACUGAGCUUAUAAGUCAGCAAUAGCACCAAUUAUAGGUUCACAGAGCAAGCGGAAUCUGUGACAGAGUGUGCAGUGUGCCCCUUUCCACCUGCGAUCCCCACAGUGGACAUAGCCAAGUCUGUAAGGUAAGGAAUAGGAGCCAAGAUGGAGUGUCUGGUCAACUGGGGGAUACGGCUAGAAACUCGUGGAGAGAACCACCCCAGACACUUCAGAAACAGAUACAGCCAGCGAAGGUAGAGAUUUAAACCCAAAGACUGAGCCACAGUAGCUCUGCCCUUCUCAGGACGGAGCAGCCCUCCCAGAAGGGUAAUAAACAGAGUAGACACCCUACUCUGCCACCACAAUCUUGCUUACUUAAACUUCUUCUUGAGGAGAUGCCAAUGUUUCAGGAGAAGAGGCAAGAGAUAAAAAGCCCAGAAACCCUAAAAAUGUCCCCCAAAAGACUAUUUUCUGAGGAACCUGAGUAAUACCAAAUGAAUAAGCUUUAAGGUUCUGUUUUGUUUUGCUCAUUUUGCCACCGAGUGGGAAUGGAGACUUCUGAGCAAGAUGAGGUCAGUUCUGUGAUGGGAAAACAUUUUAUUUACAAAAUUGGUUUUUAUACAUCUGUGUCAUAAUGAAUAAAUUUCAAAUUAA